rnacentral:pre_miRNA from 1 species
AAUAGAUGACGCCAUUGACUUUUUUUUUUACAUCUUUGAUCAUUCGUCUCAUUAAAAAAUUUACGUAAUUAUAAUUUAUUUUGUUAUGAGUUGUUUUAUCACUCAUAGUACUUUAAGUGUGAUUUAUAUCUUAUACAUUUGCAAAAAAAAUUUGAAUAGGACGAAUGGUCAAAUAUGUAAGAAAAAAUCAUCGGCGUCAUCUAUU